GGCAAGUAUACCUGCUGAAGCCGAUCAGAUUGCAAUUAAAUAACCCUGGCUACACAUCCAAGCAACAAUAAUACCAAGCAAAGCCCCAGCAAAAACCUGUAAUGGGGUGUGGCCAAGAAGUUCUUUUAGCUUUCUUUGACUGAUGGGAUGCCCUUGGAAUAAGUCCUCAACGAUCAGAUUGAGAACCUCUGCUUGCAUCCCGGCAUGCCGUCUAACUCCAAUAGCAUCAUACAUCACAAUUAAAGUAAAUCCCAAACAAACGG
rnacentral:misc_RNA from 1 species